AUUGAACGCUGGCGGCAGGCCUAACACAUGCAAGUCGAACGAGUGGCGGAAGGGUGAGUUAUGUCUGGGAAACUGCCCGAUGGAGGGGGAUAACUACUGGAAACGGUAGCUAAUACCGCAUACCAUCGGAUGAGCCCCGAUGGGAGUAGCUAGUGGGUGGGGUAACGGCUCACCGAGGCGACGAUCCCUAGAUGGGCUGAGAGGAUGACCAGCCACACUGGAACUGAGACACGGUCCAGAAGCCUACGGGAGGCAGCAGGGGGGAAUAUUGGACAAUGGGCGCAAGCCUGAUGCAGCCAUGCCGCGUGUAUGAAGAAGGCCUUCGGGUUGUAAAGUACUUUCAGCGGGGAGGCGUUACCAGCAGAAGAAGCACCGGCUAACUCCGUGCCAGCAGCCGCGGUAAUUC
rnacentral:rRNA from 1 species